CGGCUUGAUGAUGAUGAUCUUGUGUCAUACAUACUUACAGGGCUUGAUACUAAGUACAAUCCACUCAUUUAAGCUAUUAGUGCAAGAGUUGAUGAUGUUAGCUUGAGUGAUCUAUACGCUCAGCUAUUGUCCAUUGAAG